rnacentral:tRNA from 2 species
GGCGCAGUAGCCAAGUGGUAAGGCAUGGGUCUGCAACACCCUGAUUCACCGGUUCAAAUCCGGUCUGCGCCUCUA